UUGUGGUUUGGGUGUGUCCUUAUAUUCUCAUCGAUAUCACACUAGAAUAAAGAAAUGAGGUAAAACACAAACAGUUAAUACCUCAAAGAUAUCAACAAUAUGCUCAGGAUUACAUCCGACAUUUGGGGAUUUCUAUUUAAAGAUGAACACAAUUGGAGCCUUUAAAAACCCCUUACCUAAUUAUCAAACUAUGUAAAAUAUUCAAAUAAUUAAAUUAAAUCCAGCGAUGACCUUUUUAUUCUGAUCUUUUUAUAAGAAACAGAGAGAAACAUGUUCAAGGUGUGAUCUUUAAAGAUGUCUGAAGGACGGUUUGCAGAUGAGUUUUAUUAAAAGCAUUGCAAAGGUCAGAUUUGGAAGAGUUCUACUUUAUAUUUUGAGAGUUAAUCAAGAAUCAUAUUUACUGUGUUUAAAAUCCAGUUUAAAGCAAACUUUAUCAGUAUUUUGUUUCAUUUAAUUAUUCAAAUACAUAAAUACAGUAAGUGGUCGGGCUGGGACGAUUCUCUUGAUUCGAUUCUUCUACGAUUUUUUGGAUUCCGAUUCAAUUUAAAUUGCGAUUCUACGAUAUUCUGUAUUUUCUCGAUCUUUAGUCUGCAUUUUAUACACCAGUAGUACAGCUGAAUGAUUAUGAUUGUCUUCUGACUAUUCCAGGAACCAUGUUUCCCCAAAAAAUACACAUCACAUGUAAGUCAGUUUUAAAGAUUUAAGGUCCUUACACACCGGGAAUGACGCAAAUAUACGACACAAAAUUACAAAAUAUUCGGAGGCAAUGAUGAUGAUGUGAACGCUUGUAUUGACAGUAUACAGGUUCGAAAAAAAAUGUAUGUCCGAAAUAAUCACACGAAAAAAAACACUCCUGGUGUGAAAAGACCUUUAUUCUUAAAUUUGAAAAGAAAAAAAAAAAAGAAAAUUUUGAUAUAAAAAUCGAUUUAAAAAUUGUAAAACAAAAUAUCACGAUACUUAUGUAAAUUGAUUUUUUCUCCCACCCCUACUGGACAAACAGUUUAUUUUAUUUAUCCAGUAUCAUAGAUGUGACUUAAUAUGAACAAUUAAUUAGAAAAAACUCAAUACUUAGUAAAUGAGACAAUAGGAUAUAUCACAACACAAAAUAUCGCGAUACUACGCUGUAUUGAUUUUUUCUCCCACCCCUAGUAAGUAGUUAUUUAUGGUCUCUAUCACCAUGGUUUCUAUCAAAAUGUUAGUUUUUUUUACGCAGACAUUCUUGCAGGUAAACUCGAUAAAUUCUUUUUCUAUGUGGCCUCAGACUUAACCUGAAAAAUACCAAGAAGAUGAAUUUGUUACACUGUUAAAAAUACUGCUGGAGUCGUAUUCAUUAAAUUCUUCACAAUCAUAGAAUUCAAGGAUACGGUGGAGGAAUUCGAGAUCCUCUUCACCUGCCAAAAGUGCAGAAAACAUGAUAUAAUUUUGUCGUUUUGAUGGUUGUUUAUUCGUCUGGUAGUCAGGUUGGACUGAGACGUAUUCAGCUUUACUUUUUAUUGAGAUUGAACCUUGUUGAUAUUAAAGCAGUUCUAGUAAUCUUUUAUUUUGCACCUUAGUUGUCUGUUUAGGUCUGUUUCUUCACUCUGAGGUCAGAUAGUUUAGUUAUUCAGGAGAUAUUUGUGUUAUUCUGGCAUUUACCCUCCCUGAACUUUUCUGUUAUUUAAGCCUGAGUGAAAACAAAUUAAAACACUGUGAACUGCAGACCGGUUUGUGUGGUCCACUAAGGUCACUUUUAUGCUGCGCUCCGCUCUCACGCUUUUUGUACGGUAAACUUACAAACACCUUUAAAAACAUAUUUAAUCUCCUGAGGUGAAAUGAUUUUUUGCGCAGAGCUCGGCUUUGAUUUCGAGUCAUUUUAUUCUGUAUAAAACAGAAAUCUAGAAAAAGUGUUUUUGUGUGGAUGUGAUAAUCAGUCUUAUUACUAAUAGAUGUUGCUUGUUUUUGCAGAAUCCCUUUCCUCACUCUGCAACACAACAAGACAUCAAUCAUUGUGCCAUUGUGUGUAUAUCCAUAAGUGUGGCUGGAUGACAUGACACAGUAUAAACUCAUUAUUCUGCAUGUGUCUGUCGUUUUGUGCACCAUCAGAACAAGAUUAAAAAAAAUGAAGUUAGGGAUUCGGGAUGUGGCUCAUUUUCACCGUGCGAGUGUAUGCUGCCUGUAAAAAUGUCAGAAAUUCAUCGGAGCGGUCUGGAGCAGCUGAUUGGCCGAUGAUUGGCCCUUUCGCCCCCCUGUAAAUCUCACUGUAAAUGACAUGCAAUGGAACUGAAAUACAGUUCGACUUGAAAAUCAGACACCCCGCUCUGAAAUGAGAUCUGAAACAGCCGAGUGUGCCCGGUCUAACAAAGGCUGUGACAUUUUAAAUUACUAUCCCUGUAUCCUUCUAUUAAAACAAUAUCUAACAAAGCUAAACCUAUGUUGUGUGGUAGUGUAGUGGUGGAUUUGGCUCCCUGGCCUGGAGAAGCCUUUCUACGUGGAGCUUGCAUGUUCUUCUCCUUCUGCACACAUGGGCUCUCUCUCUCUCUCUCUCUGCAUUUAGCUCCCUCUCACACUGCUUAUGAAGCUGACUGGUGUCUCUAAAUUGCCCGCAGAUGAGAGUGAGUGUGUAUGGUUGUCUGUCCCAUGUGUGUCAGGUCUGUGAUUGACUCGAGACCUGCAGGGUGCACCCUAUCUCUCGCCCAAUGACAGCUCGGAUCGACACCAGCCCUCCUCGGUGUCAGGGCAGGAUAAGCUGGAUAGAUGAAUUCAUGGAGGCUGUGAUAUCACGUGGAAACGACAUAUUUCUGCAAGUGAUGAUAAGAAGAAUCAUGUUGAAUUGGUCUGACCAGGUUCAAUAGUUUUAAUAUUUUCAGAUUUUCUACCAGGUCUGUGUACAAAACCAGCUUCUUGUUGACUCACAAAUAAAAC
rnacentral:lncRNA from 1 species